rnacentral:rRNA from 1 species
AGAGUUUGAUCAUGGCUCAGGAACAACGCUGGCGGCGUGCGUAAUGCAUGCAAGUCGUACGGGAGCCGCUUUGGCGGUCGACCGUGGCGGACGGGUGAGUAACACGUGGGUAACCUGCCCCGGCGCGGGGGAUAACCGCGGGAAACCGUGGCUAAUACCCCAUGGGCUCGGUUGGGGGGUGGCCUGAUCGAGCAAAGGCGGAAGCCGUGCCGGGAGGGGCCUGCGGCCUAUCAGCUAGACGGUGGGGUAAUGGCCUACCGUGGCGAUGACGGGUAGCUGGUCUGAGAGGACGAUCAGCCACACGGGGACUGAGACACGGCCCCGACUCCUACGGGAGGCAGCAGCAAGGAAUUUUCCGCAAUGGGCGCAAGCCUGACGGAGCGACGCCGCGUGGAGGAUGACGCCCUUCGGGGUGUAAACUCCUUUUCGGGGGGACGAAGGCAGUGACGGUACCCCCGGAAGAAGCACCGGCUAACUACGUGCCAGCAGCCGCGGUAAGACGUAGGGUGCGAGCGUUGUCCGGAGUUACUGGGCGUAAAGGGCGCGUAGGCGGCUGCCCGCGUCGCACGUGAAAGCCCCCGGCUCAACCGGGGAGGGUCGUGCGAGACGGGGUGGCUAGAGGCAGGGAGAGGCUGGUGGAAUUCCCGGUGUAGCGGUGAAAUGCGUAGAGAUCGGGAGGAACACCGGUGGCGAAGGCGGCCAGCUGGCCCUGACCUGACGCUGAGGCGCGAAGGCGCGGGGAGCGAACGGGAUUAGAUACCCCGGUAGUCCGCGCAGUAAACGCUGUGGACUAGGUGUGGGAGGUGUUGACCCCUUCCGUGCCGGCGCUAACGCAGUAAGUCCACCGCCUGGGGAGUACGGCCGCAAGGCUAAAACUCAAAGGAAUUGACGG